rnacentral:misc_RNA from 1 species
GAUGAAGAACGCAGCGAAAUGCGAUAAGUAAUGUGAAUUGCAGAAUUCAGUGAAUCAUCGAAUCUUUGAACGCACAUUGCGCCCGCCAGUAUUCUGGCGGGCAUGCCUGUCUGAGCGUCAUUUCAACCCUCAUGCCCCUAGGGCGUGGUGUUGGGGAUCGGCCAAAGCCCGCGAGGGACGGCCGGCCCCUAAAUCUAGUGGCGGACCCGUCGUGGCCUCCUCUGCGAAGUAGUGAUAUUCCGCAUCGGAGAGCGACGAGCCCCUGCCGUUAAACCCCCAACUUUCCAAGGUUGACCUCAGAUCAGGUAGGAAUACCCGCUGAACUUAAGCAUAUCAAAAAGCGGAGGA